rnacentral:rRNA from 1 species
UACGAAGGGGGCUAGCGUUGCUCGGAUUUACUGGGCGUAAAGGGCGCGUAGGCGGACGAUCAAGUUGGCGGUGAAAUCCCGGGGCUUAACCUCGGAACUGCCUCCAAAACUGAUCAUCUAGAGUUUGGGAGAGGUGUGUGGAACUCCGAGUGUAGAGGUGAAAUUCGUAGAUAUUCGGAAGAACACCAGUGGCGAAGGCGACACACUGGCCCAAUACUGACGCUGAGGCGCGAAAGCGUGGGGAGCAAACAGG